AACGCACAUUGCGCCCUUUGGUAUUCCGAAGGGCAUGCCUGUUCGAGCGUCAUUUCAACCCUCAAGCUCUGCUUGGUAUUGGGUCUCACCGCACGGUGGGCCUUAAAAUCAGUGGCGGUGCCAUCUUGGCUCUAAGCGUAGUAAAUCUCUCGCUCUGGGACCUCGGUGGUGCUUGCCAGUAACCCCAAAUUUUCUAUGGUUGACCUCGGAUCAGGUAGGGAUACCCGCUGAACUUAA
rnacentral:misc_RNA from 1 species